AUUGAACGCUGGCGGCAGGCCUAACACAUGCAAGUCGAGCGGAUGAAGGGAGCUUGCUCCUGGAUUCGGCGGCGGACGGGUGAGUAAUGCCUAGGAAUCUGCCUGGUAGGGGGGGAUAACGUCCGGAAACGGGCGCUAAUACCGCAUACGUCCUGCGGGAGAAAGUGGGGGAUCUUCGGACCUCACGCUAUCAGAUGAGCCUAGGUCGGAUUAGCUAGUUGGUGGGGUAAAGGCCUACCAAGGUGACGAUCCGUAACUGGUCUGAGAGGAUGAUCACUCACACUGGAACUGAGCCACGGUCCAGACUCCUACGGGAGGCAGCAGUGGGGAAUAUUGGACAAUGGGCGAAAGCCUGAUCCAGCCAUGCCGCGUGUGUGAAGAAGGUCUUCGGAUUGUAAAGCACUUUAAGUUGGGAGGAAGGGCAGUAAGUUAAUACCUUGCUGUUUUGACGGUACCAACAGAAUAAGCACCGGCUAACUUCGUG
rnacentral:rRNA from 1 species